AUUGAACGCUGGCGGCAUGCCUUACACAUGCAAGUCGAACGGUAACAGGUCUUCGGAUGCUGACGAGUGGCGAACGGGUGAGUAAUACAUCGGAACGUGCCUAGUAGUGGGGGAUAACUACUCGAAAGAGUGGCUAAUACCGCAUGAGAUCUACGGAUGAAAGCAGGGGAUCGCAAGACCUUGUGCUACUAGAGCGGCCGAUGGCAGAUUAGGUGGUUGGUGGGAUAAAAGCUUACCAAGCCGACGAUCUGUAGCUGGUCUGAGAGGACGAUCAGCCACACUGGGACUGAGACACGGCCCAGACUCCUACGGGAGGCAGCAGUGGGGAAUUUUGGACAAUGGGCGCAAGCCUGAUCCAGCAAUGCCGCGUGCAGGAUGAAGGCCUUCGGGUUGUAAACUGCUUUUGUACGGAACGAAAAGCCCUGGGUUAAUACCCUGGGGUCAUGAUGGUACCGUAAGAAUAAGCACCGGCUAACUACGUGCCAGCAGCCGCAGUAACAC
rnacentral:rRNA from 1 species